rfam:Saprospiraceae bacterium KD52 Scaffold1_14, whole genome shotgun sequence.
AGUCUCGUAGCUCAGCUGGUUAGAGCGCUACACUGAUAAUGUAGAGGUCGGCGGUUCAAGUCCGCCCGAGACUA